GCCGGUUUGGCCGAACGGGUCAGGCGCCUGGCUGCAACCCAGGAGAAGCGGGUUCGACCCCCGCAACCGGCUCCA
rnacentral:tRNA from 1 species